rnacentral:misc_RNA from 1 species
UGUCAACUCAUCUUUACCAGCAAAGUUGGAGACCUCAAAAUGCACCUGGCUUUUUUUUAUACCAAGGAAUCUGUCGUCUGUCACUAGGUGGCUAAAAUAUGUCCACCAGGUAGCGCAGUGUCUCCGUGAGUCCGUGACUCAUCAUCACUUCAGUUCAGCCUUCAGCGACGAGAUUUCCGCCAUUAAUACGAUAAGCGGACAUGUGUUAAUUCUCACGAUUCUCACUAUGCCGUCAUUGCCGUGUGCUUCUACAUUUUCCAACAAGUUAAAAAAAGGAAUGGCUGUACGUCUCAUCCCAUAUAUGGAAACAAGUGGCAGAAAUAGAAGUGGUGAUCGACACGGGAGCCACAACCAAACAAGGCAGUGUAGGAUGACUGUGAUGGAUGAUGAAGCUGUUAACACGUGCACGUACAUCUCCACAUUACGACUAAUCAGACUGAAAAUGCAGUUGCUUUCUGCAAAGGUGAAUCUUUUCUUGUAUUUUGAGAACACAACACGUGGUCACAUUUAGCUAUUAAUCAAAGGCACUUGCUAUCGGAAUUAUCCACAAACGGAAUUGUCAGCCAGGUUAAGUUGAAGUUGUUUGCUGUUGCUGUCUUAUGCAGAACAUUUUUACUUGCUGCUUUCUGACUGCGCAAAUUGGGAAGCUGCCUUUUUUUCAAAUUUUGAAAACUUUUAGUUGUUUUUGAUUCAUAUCUGAUUUGUUUCAUAGGUUUUCCAUUGUGUUGGUGUUUGAUGGAAGACUGAAAUUGCCUGUGGUGUUGCAGUCCAAUGUGCUGAUGCCUGCCCUACCCUGGUUUAAUUAGUACCAAAAGAUCGAAUUUACGAUGGUAGUAAUUUUCCGUUUUUGUUUAGUGUACUCAUUAAGUGGGUUUUUUGUCGCUAUGUAAGUGAUUUGAGCAAUGUGUGAGUUUUAUUCUAUUUGUUUUUACGCGUCUUCUCAGCAGAAUUUAUUAUGUCUUAGGUGUACUUGGAAUGUGAAAUGAUUGAGACUUGCUGAAUAGUGACAAGUUCAUUUCUAAUUAAUGAGACAUUUAAAAUAGACAACAUAUUAAAUAACCUUGAUUAUUAAUAAAUUUUUUACCUUGAAAA